GACGUAGGGCGCGAGCGUUGUCCGGAUUUAUUGGGCGUAAAGAGCUCGUAGGUGGUUUGUCGCGUUGUUCGUGAAAACUCACAGCUUAACUGUGGGCGUGCGGGCGAUACGGGCAGACUGGAGUACUGCAGGGGAGACUGGAAGUUCCUGGUGUAGCGGUGGAAUGCGCAGAUAUCAGGAGGAACACCGGUGGCGAAGGCGGGUCUCUGGGCAGUAACUGACGCUGAGGAGCGAAAGCGUGGGGAGCGAACAGG
rnacentral:rRNA from 1 species